rnacentral:rRNA from 1 species
CCUACGGGCGGCAGCAGUGAGGAAUAUUGGUCAAUGGGCGGGAGCCUGAACCAGCCAAGCCGCGUGAAGGAAGAAGGCGCCAAGCGUCGUAAACUUCUUUUGUCAGGGAACAAAGUGAGCCACGUGUGCCGUUUUGAGUGUACCUGAAGAAAAAGCAUCGGCUAACUCCGUGCCAGCAGCCGCGGUAAUACGGAGGAUGCGAGCGUUAUCCGGAUUUAUUGGGUUUAAAGGGUGCGUAGGCGGUCCGUAAAGUCAGCGGUAAAAGCCCGGGGCUCAACCUCAGAUAGCCGUUGAAACUGGCAGACUAGAGACGGCGUGAGGUACGCGGAAUGCGCGGUGUAGCGGUGAAAUGCAUAGAUAUCGCGAAGAACUCCGAUUGCGAAGGCAGCUUAC